UUCUUUUAUUACACUGGCCAAAGUUUAAAUCAUGUUUUCAUUUAAAUACGUCUACGCAUUAACUUUUUCCUUAGUAAUUUCUUCAGCGGGUUCCUGCUUGCGAAAGUCGACGGGUUACAGGCCUCGCUUUCGAUUGGGAGGAGUGAUCCAGAUCGAUCCAGUUCGUUUCGAACAAUGUCCCCACUUUCGUGAUGGCUUCCGCGAGAUUUUUGCCUUGAAAUAUUUACAAAAGAUUUACUUCAGUGCCAUGCUAUUUCUAGAAACACGUCAAUAGGUUGCGGUUUCAAUCUAGCGUGACAUGCCAGAAUAUAAAAUACAAAACAAUAUCCGAAAAAUGAAAAUAUCUUGAAAACCCAAGAUGUGGACUAAAACGUAGAUUUUGAAUGGUUAUAGUUCUAUCCUAUCACAGAACGAUCAUCAUGCAUAUGUAAUGUAAUGUAAUGUAAAACUUUAUUUCAAUACGCUAACUUCGACAAUUAUUUACAACUGGUUUUCACGAAGGGCGUAUACACACAAAGAGCUAAAUGUUAAUU
rnacentral:lncRNA from 1 species